rnacentral:rRNA from 1 species
ACUGCUCAGUAACACGUGGGAUAACCUGCCCAAGGGUCUUGGGAUAACCCGGGGAAACUGGGGGAUAAUACCGGAUAGAUCACCUAUGCUGGAAGGGCUUGGUGGUUUAAAGGUAACGCCUUUGGAUGGGUCUGCGGCGGAUUAGGUUGACGCCGGUGUAAUGUACCGGCGUGCCUGUAAUCCGUACGGGUUGUGGGAGCAAGAGCCCGGAGAUGGAUUCUGAGACACGAAUCCAGGCCCUACGGGGCGCAGCAGGCGCGAAAACUCUACAAUGCAGGAGACUGCGAUAGGGGGACAUCGAGUGGCAUCCACCUUGGGUGCCUGUCCAACCGUCUAAAAAACGGUUGUUAGCAAGGGCCGGGUAAGACCGGUGCCAGCCGCCGCGGUAAUACCGGCGGCUCGAGUGGUGGCCGAUAUUAUUGAGUCUAAAGGGUCCGUAGCCGGCUUUGCAAGUCCCCUGGGAAAUCCAGCGGCUUAACCGUUGGGCUUUCAUGGGAUACUACAUUGCUUGGGACUGGGAGAGGUAGGAGGUACUCGGGGGGUAGGGGUGAAAUCCUGUAAUCCUCCGGGGACCACCGGUGGCGAAGGCGUCCUACCAGAACAGGUCCGACGGUGAGGGACGAAAGCUAGGGGCACGAACCGGAUUAGAUACCCGGGUAGUCCUAGCCGUAAACGAUGCCCGCUAGGUGUCACGACAGUCGUGAAUUGUCGUGGUGCCGUAGGGAAGCCGCGAAGCGGGCCACUUGGGAAGUACGACCGCAAGGUUGAAACUUAAAGGAAUUGGCGGGGGAGCAC